ensembl:lncRNA
GGACAGGGCUUCCGGCCUCGCGCAAAGUCCCGCCCCCUGGUCGCGACGGGCCAAUCCCAAGGCCUCCCCGUUCUGGCCGCAGGGAUUGGUCCCGGGGCUCACGUGACCUGACGGGCUUGGGGCACGUGACCGAACUGACUCUCGGACACGUGAUCGCGGCGGUUUUGUUGGUUUGUGUAUGGCGGGAGAGAGCUGGGGUCCUGGAUCAGAACCCGGCAUGGAGACCGCGGAGCCCUGAGGUGCGGUUGCCGGCCUCCGCACGCGGCCACUUGCUAAGCGAAGAGCCCGCCUCCUGGGCCUUCGGAGUGAGCUGAGCGCCCUCAGUGCCUUCGCCUGUGAAAUGGCCCCAGGGUCACGCAGGGAACAGCGUGGCCCGCGGCCCGCGGGAGGCAGCGUGGACGUGCAGGGCCGUGUGAAGCAGGGCGGUGGCCUGAAGGGGAACCGGGAGUCCCAGAGCGCUGACCGUGGGUGAGGUUGUUGAGCAGGGCAGAGCCUCUGCCCCUGGCUGACUUCCGCCCAGGAGUGGCCACUCGGCUUUCGCUGCGGCCUGUGAAACCAGACUCCCACUCCAGGCUGUGAAUCUUCACGGGCAAGGCCUGGCGCUCACCCGUCUGUCUCCUCUGCAUGGUCGGUGGCCCAGGGGUCUGAGCUCCGAGGCUGCCGCGCACGGAGUGCACGUGCUCAGGUGGCCAGUGAGCCAAAGUCCACGCGGGGUGUCCUAACGACGCGCAGAGCUGUGCCGUCAGAGGCUCGACAGGGAUGGCUCAGCCCAGAGGUUGCAGGAGGCCUAUGCAGCACCCCCAGAAGGGAGUCAGCUUUCGUCCUGGGCACCCCACCUGGCACUCGUGUCCCCAGCCCUGAAGUGGGGCCGUAUUUCCAUCAUCAGCCCCAGUGUCCAGAAAACCAGGCAUUCCCAGGUCUCAGAACCGGCGAUCUGGGAUGGAGCGCCUGGGCAGCUGAGUCCUGGAGCGUCCGACUCUUCGGUUUGAGCUCAGGUCGUGAUCUCGUGUUUUCAUGAGUCGGGAUUUUCUCAAUCUCUCUCUCUCUCUCCCUCUCCCUCUCUCUCUCUCUCUCUCUCUCUCUCUCUCUCUCUCUCUCUGCUCCUCCCUUGCUCAUGCAGUCUCUGUCUCUCAAAACAAAUAAAAUAAAUAAACUUUAAAAAAGGAAAACAAGCUUGUGGUCUGGGAGCAUAACCAAGAUGCUGGAACCACGGGCUAAAGUAAGGUCCCACAACCAACGCGGGCUAGAACUCACGACCCUGAGAUCAAGAGUCAGACGCUCUACUGACUGAGCCAGCCAGGCACCCCGAUACAUUAUUAUUUACUCAAGUCCAUAGUUCAGAUUUUCUUAGUUUUUCCUUGAUGUCCUUUUUUGGCGCCAGGAGCCUAUCAAGGCCCCAUGUGACAUGAAGAUGUGCACCUACUUCCCUCUGAAGGUGCAUUAUUAAAGUAGCACAUAACUGCUGACCUUAACCUUGGCUUGAAGUCUGAGUAAACGCUAGGGCUGCUGCCAGGGGCCGCGUUUAGGGUUUUGGUAUUCUGCCUGACAGCUGGCAGCUGAGUGGGGCGCUGCGUCCUUUGCAAAAAGGACAUGGAGGAGAAGCCCCACCAUCCAGACUGUCCCUUCCCAGAACCAUCCCUUGGGCUGGGCGUUGAGGGGGGGCGGUACGGUUUAGUGGGUUACGGAUUUCUCUUUGGGAUGAUGAAGACAUUCUGGACAUGGGUGGUGCUGAGGGCUGCAUACAUUUACAAAUGUCCUUAAUGCCCCUGCUUGCACACUUGAGAAUGGCCCAAACGGGGGCGCCUGGGGGCUCAGUCGGUUAAGUGUCCGACUUCGGCUCAGGUCAUGACCUCACUUGUCUGUAUGUUCGAGUCCCGUGUCAGGUUCUGUGCUGACAGCUCAGAGCCUGGAGCCCACUUCGGAUUCUGUGUCUCCCUCUCUCCCUCUGCCCCUCCCCUACUCAUGUGCUGUCUGUCUCUCAAAAAUGAAUAAACAUUAAAAAAAUAAAAAUGAAAGAAACCAAAACCCCUGAAGUAACAGCCAUGUUUAUUAAACCCAUGGCUCCAGGUUCUGGGCUCCCCAAGUAGCACCGCAGAUCUCUGGCCCCACAGGGGCUGGGCAUUCAUGUUCCACCAAAAAGAGCCCCAUAGCCAAGUAGCUUGGGAAAUGUUGCACCUGCCACUGCCCCCAAAGGUUCGAAGAACCUCCUAGAAGGUCUGAAAAGUCCUGUCCUGAGGCAGCCGGCUAAGCUUUGUCCGACUCCAUGAUUCCUGAUGCACGGCCGGCUCAGUCAGGAGAGCGUGCAGCUCUUGGCCUCGGAGUUGUGAGUUCGAGCCUCACACUGGGUGUGGAGAUUACUUAAAAUCUUACCACCUACAUUCUAGGAUGUUCAAUAUAGAGAAACGGCAGUUGAUGUCAAACUUACAGGCUGACUGGCAAUGCCAGGAGAUGACAGCAUCUGCUGUGAUAAAAUAACAUCUGAUAAACCAUUUUAUGUCCUGUCACUUUUAGGGUGAAGAAGGAUUUUGUCUCGUCCAUAAAAAUUAGACGUGUUCCCCUACCUGUGGCGAAGUGACCAUUGCACUGAAGCUAAGCAAAGUCCUAACCUAGCCGGCCACUCUCCUGUGCCUUGCCCCUCACCAGACCCAGCGCACUCUGCUGGAAAUGUUGGGUUGUCUCUGUAAAAUGUUUACAUUUACUCUUUGGAGUAAAGUAGGAGGUUCUUUCUCCAAAGUGCAUAGUAGUGGGGGCUCCUGCCUGGCUCAGUCGGUUGAGCAUCCAACUCUUGUUUGGGUCUGGUCAUAAUCCUACUGUGUCUUGAGGGGUCAGGUCAUAAUCCUACUGGGAUGAGAUCAGGUCCCACAUCGGGCUCUGCACUGACAGCACAGAGUCCGCUUGGGAUUCUUUCUCCCUCCCUCUCCUCCCCUGCUUAUGUGCGCUCUCUCAAAAUAAAUUUUGAGAACACUUAAAUGCUUGACCUGAGCAGGGUUUUUGGAUGGACAUAUAUGGUUGUGUUGGGCCAGCUGUAAGCUUCCCUCAGCAAGAAGGAAGGAGAUUCAGCCUCUGCCCAUCCCGCAGUCCUAGAACGAAGAUCCUAUGGAAAUAAAUGAAACUGAAUAAAUAUUGCCCAGAGCCGGCUCCGCUUGUGGCGUGGCGCCGCCCUGCCCGACAAGGAGGGAAGUCAGCUAGGGCAGCAGGCAGCUGCAGCACUGUGGAGGAGAGGACCAGGGCCAUGGCCAGGACCAGGAGCCCACGAGUUCCGGGAGCACCUGGGGCUGGGACUGCAAUUACAGGGAGCAGC